rfam:Pseudomonadales bacterium GWC1_66_9 gwc1_scaffold_2503, whole genome shotgun sequence.
AGAGUCGAUCGGACAGUCGCUGUUCCAUAUUGUUCCCCGAUAUGGAAGGGAGGAAAGUCCGGGCUCCAUAGGGCAGAGUGCCAGGUAACGCCUGGGAGGCGUGAGCCUACGGAAAGUGCCACAGAAAACAACCGCCUAAGCGCGCAAGCGCCGGUAAGGGUGAAAAGGUGCGGUAAGAGCGCACCGCACGGCUGGCAACAGUCCGUGGCUAGGUAAACCCCACUCGGAGCAAGACCAAAUAGGGAUCCGUUGGCGUGGCCCGCGCUGGAUCCGGGUAGGUUGCUAGAGGCGGCCAGCGAUGGUCGUCGUAGAGGAAUGACUGUCCUCGACAGAACCCGGCUUAUAGAUCGACUCUCCCC